UACGAGUGGUCCAAGCGUUAUCCGGAAUUAUUGGGCGUAAAGAGCGCGCAGGCGGUCGUUCAAGUCGAGUGUGAAAGCCCCCGGCUCAACUCGGGAGGGUCAUUCGAUACUGAUCGACUCGAAGGCGGGAGAGGGUAGUGGAAUUCCCGGUGUAGUGGUGAAAUGCGUAGAGAUCGGGAGGAACAUCCGUGGCGAAGGCGACUACCUGGACCAGCACUGACACUGAGGCACGAAAGCGUGGGGAGCAAACAGG
rnacentral:rRNA from 1 species